UACGAAGGGGGCGAGCGUUGUUCGGAAUCACUGGGCGUAAAGGGCGCGUAGGCGGGUCUUUAAGUCAGGGGUGAAAUCCUGGAGCUCAACUCCAGAACUGCCUUUGAUACUGAAGAUCUUGAGUUCGGGAGAGGUGAGUGGAACUGCGAGUGUAGAGGUGAAAUUCGUAGAUAUUCGCAAGAACACCAGUGGCGAAGGCGGCUCACUGGCCCGAUACUGACGCUGAGGUGCGAAAGCGUGGGGAGCAAACAGG
rnacentral:rRNA from 1 species